GGAUUGCAAUUCUACUCUCUUUGCGGACUUUGAAACUGUUCUUAAGGAUGACACGGAAAUGAUGGAGGUUGAUGAUCAAUCCAUCCUAACUGAAGCCUGAAACAUGAUUGUAUGAUGUUGCUGCUGCUGCUUGGUUGCGACGAGAAGGCGGACGACCCGGCGUGCUACACUGCUACCUGUUGUUAUUUACAUUUAUCCAUGGCUGCUACACUACUACUUCCUACUGCUAGCUUGUAUUUGUAUUUCUGCUGCUAUUUGUGCACCUGAACCUUGUAUCUCUGCUCCUGAACCUUGUAUUUGUGCUUCUGAAGACCUGCACCAUGUAUUUGUGAUGCUAUUUGUGCU